rnacentral:tRNA from 1 species
CGGUGUGUAGCGAAAUGGCAGACGCGCUUGGCAAAGAGGUUACGGGUUCGAGUCCUGUCACACCGA